ACGGGAGGCAGCAGUGGGGAAUAUUGGGCAAUGGGCGAAAGCCUGACCCAGCAACGCCGCGUGAAGGAAGAAGGCCUUCGGGUUGUAAACUUCUUUUGUCAGGGACGAAGGACGUGACGGUACCUGACUAAGAAGCCCCGGCUAACUACGUGCCAGCAGCCGCGGUAAUACGUAGGGGGCAAGCGUUAUCCGGAUUUACUGGGUGUAAAGGGAGCGUAGACGGCGAUGCAAGUCUGAUGUGAAAGCCCGGGGCUCAACCCCGGCACUGCAUUGGAAACUGUGUUGCUAGAGUGCAGGAGAGGUAAGUGGAAUUCCUAGUGUAGCGGUGAAAUGCGUAGAUAUUAGGAGGAACACCAGAGGCGAAGGCGGCUUACUGGACUGUAACUGACGUUGAGGCUCGAAAGCGUGGGGAGCAAACAGGAUUAGAUACCCUGGUA
rnacentral:rRNA from 1 species